UCCGGAAACGGGUAGCUAAUACCGCAUAGUUUUCUUGAUUGCAUGAUUGAGAAAGGAAAGACGGCCUUUGUGCUGUCGCUUAUGGAUGGACCCGCGGCGUAUUAGUUAGUUGGUGAGGUAACGGCUCACCAAGACGAUGAUACGUAGCCGACCUGAGAGGGUGAUCGGCCACAUUGGGACUGAGACACGGCCCAAACUCCUACGGGAGGCAGCAGUAGGGAAUCUUCCGCAAUGGACGAAAGUCUGACGGAGCAACGCCGCGUGAGUGAAGAAGGGUUUUUUACCGGGAUCGUAAAACUCUGUUGUCAGAGAAGAACAAGUUGGAGAGUAACUGCUCCAGCCUUGACGGUAUCUGACCAGAAAGCCACGGCUAACUACGUGCCAGCAGCAGC
rnacentral:rRNA from 1 species